UCACGUCUUACGACGGCAGUUUCAGUAGAGUUCCCAGCGUUACCUGAUGGCAACUACUGAUGGGGGUUGCGCUCGUUGCGGGACUUAACCCAACACCUCACGGCACGAGCUGACGACAGCCAUGCAGCACCUUACUAGCGGCCCCUUGCGGGGAAGGUAGCUUUCACCACCGGUCCACUAGCAUUCUAGCCCAGGUAAGGUUCCUCGCGUAUCAUCGAAUUAAACCACAGGCUCCACCGCUUGUGCGGACCCCCGCCAAUUCCUUUGAGUUUCAACCUUGCGGUCGUACUUCCCAGGUGGGAUACUUAAUGCUUUCGCUCAGACACACAUAGUCAUAUCACGUAUGUCGAGUAUCCAUCGUUUAGGGCGUGGACUAC
rnacentral:misc_RNA from 1 species